rnacentral:tRNA from 1 species
GUGUAGCUCAGCUGGAUAGAGCGUCUGGCUACGGACCAGAAGGCCGUGGGUUCGAAUCCUAUCACG